ACUCAAAUGAAUUGACGGGGGCUCGCACAAGCGGUGGAGCAUGUGGUUUAAUUCGAUGGUAAGCGAAAAACCUUACCUGGGCUUGAACGUGUAGUGACAGUUGGUGAAAGCCAAUUUUCCUUCGGGACACUAUGCGAGGUGCUGCAUGGCUGUCGUCAGCUCGUGUUGUGAAAUGUUGGGUUAAGUCCCGCAACGAGCGCAACCCCCAUCCUAUGUUGCCAUCAUUCAGUUGGGCACUCUUGGGAAACUGCCCUGGUUAACGGGGAGGAAGGCGGGGAUGACGUCAAGUCCUCAUGGCCCUUAUGUCCAGGGCUACACACGUGCUACAAUGGAGCGCACAAAGGGACGCCAAGUCGCAAGACUGCGCAAAUCCCAAAAAACGCUUCUCAAUUCGGAUUGGAGUCUGCAACCCGACUCCAUGAAGCCGGAAUCGCUAGUAAUCACAGAUCAGCACGCUGUGGUGAAUACGUUCUCGAGCCUUGUACACACCGCCCGU
rnacentral:rRNA from 1 species